rnacentral:rRNA from 1 species
GAUGAACGCUGGCGGCGUGCCUAAUACAUGCAAGUCGAGCGAACAGAUGAGGAGCUUGCUCCUCUGACGUUAGCGGCGGACGGGUGAGUAACACGUGGAUAACCUACCUAUAAGACUGGGAUAACUUCGGGAAACCGGCGCUAAUACCGGAUAAUAUAUUGAACCGCAUGGUUCAAUAGUGAAAGACGGUUUUGCUGUCACUUAUAGAUGGAUCCGCGCCGCAUUAGCUAGUUGGUAAGGUAACGGCUUACCAAGGCAACGAUGCGUAGCCGACCUGAGAGGGUGAUAGGCCACACGAGAACGGAGACACGGUCCAGACGCCUACGGGAGGCAGCAGUAGGGAAUCUUCCGCAAUGGACGAGAGCCUUACGGAGCAACGCCGCGUGAGUGAUGAAGGUCUUCGGAUCGUAAAACUCUGUUAUUAGGGAAGAACAAAUGUGUAAGUAACUAUGCACGUCGUGACGGUACCUGAUCAGAAAGCCACGGCUAACUACGUG